AGUCAACUAUUGGGGUAACCACUGGGAGGAUGACAAAAAUGGAUGGAAUAAGGCAACACCCUCCUUUUCUGUGGUCUGAGAAACAGCUACAAUGAAUGCCACUUUGCUGGAAGUGGGAUCCUUCUGGCUAGGGUUUCUGGAAUAUUUUUCAGUUCUUUCUUCCACUAGCCACAGUUUCUGCUCUCUUCUUUAACUUUAACCUAAAUAAAGUGUUUCCAGCUUUAGAAAGAACACAACUUAAAGGAAAAAUUUUCUGGAGGAGAAUUUUUGUGGCAGAGGGCGGAAAACUCACAAGUUGAAGCAGAAGAAGAAGCGGCACCUUACUGUUCGAGUAGCCAGAUUUUAGAAGUGGAUACAGAAUUAUUUAUUGGACUGCCAAAGCAGGGUUGCUCAUUGUAGGGCACUGCUUAUUUGUUCUUAUUCAUUUGAAUUCUAGAUAAAUAAGGACAUUGCAUGAAGAAGAGAAGAUGUAUACACGUAUGAAUUAAGAAGACACACGAAAUGGAGUCUUUUGAUUCCGAAUUUGUACAUUAUACCAUAGUCAUGUUUAUUCUCUUUCCCUCUACGUUGUUCUGCUACCAUAUUACGAAUAUUUCUGUUGGAAUAAGA